rnacentral:lncRNA from 1 species
UAAGAACACAGGACAUGGCUGAGCAGAGCCUAGAUUUCAGCUCUUUGGAGAACAGAGGGACCACCUCUUCAGGGAGAACAGAGUCUGGCAACGUAGGUGAUGGUUUUCAUUCUACUGAGCACUUGAGAGAUUAGUGGAAGAAUAUAAGGACUUCGUGUGACUGUAUUUGUACUCGGAGCUGAAGGAGCAGAUUAUACUAGUUCCAUGAGAAUUAUUGGAGAAAAAAAAUUCUACAAACCACCCCAGGUUUUUCAUAGAGUAAAUUCUCCAUCGAUCCUAGCCGUUUUGAUUUUAUGACCACUACCAUGACUGUUCUUCCUCAGGCCUUGAUUCAUCAAGCGCUCACAAAAGAAAUUCCCCCAGCUCUGCACCGAACAUUGGUAAUCAUUACCCUUGUUUAUUUCACGGGCGUUCAUUGUCCAGUGAGUGGACAUUGUCAGUGCUCUGAUCACAAUGGACAUUCUCUUCCGUGUUUAGUCACCCUGAUCAGACUUAUAAAUGAGGAGACUUUAAACUACUUUUUAUUCAACCUUAUUACACCUGCCAUUUGUCUUUUCCUUUCCAGGAGCUUCUGAGGAGGCCUCCACUGACUCGGCGCUAUGAGACUGUUUUCCCUUCUCAUCUUUGUCAUCUUCUUCAUCUCGCAAGUAGCUCCAGGUAAACCCUCUUCGGCAUCUCCUUAAACUGUGACCUGCUCUCUUGUCCAAUCUGAUGUCAUUCAUACAAAUAGGCUCUCCUUUCUUGAAGCCUCCACCCGCUGAGGUGUGUUUGAACUAGAAUUCACCAUCCUCAUUCUCUGGGUAUUGCGUUUAGUGACUGCUUGUGAGGGCUGGCAAAGAGGACCCUUAGAGGUUUUCUAGAAGGAGGCAAUUCAUGUAUUUAGAACCAUGGCAUUUUGGAAGAAACUUGAAGUGUAUUUUGCUCCACACCUUGAGCAAGUGGUGGUAAGAAUAAAGAGAGGGGGAGAGGGGCACUUCACUUCCUGCCUGGUGUUCAUUCCUGACACCACAGAAGUGCUGAGUAUCACUGAACAGCUCAGGUGCUUUACAGAGUACUACAGCUACUUGGAUUUGGUGGGGGCGGGGGGAGAAGAUUGGCCUAUGUGGGUGAGCAUCAUGAGGGUUUGGCAGGUCACUGAGGGUUUGAACUUGCUUCCCCCAGAAAGACAGCCACGUGGUGCUUUGUGGUCCCCCCCCCAAAUCCUCUGUCACUACUUUUCUCCUCCUCCUCCAAUAUUCUAUCUUUAUAUAAAUAAAUCCACCCAAAUAUUCCAUGUCUGUGUCUUACUGCUCGGGGCUUCUGUGCCUUUCGGAGCACCAGGGGACAGGAACUGGGGAGGGCUGUGUGCCCCCAACCACUGCCCUCCUUUUGUUUGCUUUGGGUCAACAAAGUCUGUUGACUGUGGACCCACUGGGCAUGACGACUGAUUUCAGUGCAUCACUCAGAGUAGUGACCCAACCUCCGUUUCCUCAAUGGGCUUUUUUUUUUUUUAAGUGUGUUUAUUUUGAGACAGAGAGAGACAGAGACAGAGUGAGUAGGAGAGGGGCAGAGAGAGGGAGAGACAGAAUCCCAAGCAGGGCUCUGAUGGCACAGAGCCCAACAUGGGGCUCGAACCCAUAAACUGUGAGAUCAUGACCUGAGCUGAGAUCACGAAUCCAAUGCUUAAACAACUGAGCCACCCAGAUGCCCAUAAUCAGAGAAGAGAAAAAAUACAUUAUGGUGGGCUGUGAGGGAAUGUCUUUGGGGGAAGAAUAAGGAGAGAAUUACAGGACUUCUAACAGCAUGACUCUUGGUUACAGCACUAGGGUAAAGAGAUACAACUGUUCCCAGGGAUGGGUGGCCUCAAUGUCAGAGUUGCUGUGGUGACAGCUGCUCUAAUGAAGACAGGAUGGGCAGGGGGCCUUUCGUGAUAGCCUCGACCAUGUGGCAUGAAGUCAGGGUGCAAGAGCCCAUGAUAAGCAGGUUUAGGAAAGCUCUCUGCUGACAGCUCAGUUCUAACUACUGAGUAGAAGGGGACAGAUUGAAGAAAGUAGAAAUAGGGCUGAGACCCACAAAUGGGGAGAAAUCAGGGAGAGAACUUACCACCCACCAUCGAGUUUUUCCACAAAGGUUGUGCAUGGCCCUAUCACUAGUUUGAGGCCCCAUGACAUCUGUAGCCUGGGUUCCAAAGUUGCUGACUUCUGCUAGUGACCCAUGCUGGGCAGGCUGGACUAUAGGGACCAUGGGGACCCUUCUUUCUCAGGGCUGAGUGAAAGCUUUCUCUCUCUCAUCUUUUAAGAGGCAGGACAAGAAGACUUCUUCAGGCCUGGCCUUGAGUCAGGGAGGAUUUUUUUUUCCUCUUCUGGAAACCUCUUACCUUAGCCAGUGCCCCCUGAUUAUUCUGGGUCCUUUCUUAUAGGGACUUGAAUUUUUAAAUCUUUAAUUUUAGUUUUAAGACAUAUCUGAUAAAACCUGAACACAGGGAUUCUAAGCCUGGGAACUGUGGGUGAACUUGAGGGCUUGUCACGUUCCUUAAACACCUUGGAGCAUACUGUGUGAGUACAUUUUUAUAUUUGACCAAAGAUGUAUGUAGAUCUUCCUUCUUCAGACUAGGGACUGUAGGAUUAUCUUAUUCUCAGUGAAAUCCUGUCCUAGGAAGACAAAAACCAAAGUUUUAGGGGCGCCUGGGCAGCUCAGUCGGUUGCAUGUCUGACCUCGGCUCAGGUCAUGACCUCCCGGUUCAUGAUUUCCAGCCCCACAUCGGGGUCUGUGCUGUCAGCACAGAGCCUGCUUUGGAUCCUCUGUUCCCCAUCUCUCUCUGCCCUUCCCCGACUUGUGCUCUCUCGAAAAUCAAACACUGAGAAAAAAAUCUUUCAAAAAACCCAAGUAUCAAGGUACUGCUUCCAAAGGACAUUGACAAUCCCAUAACAGACCUCUGGGGGGCACACUUGCUGCUCUGUGGUAAUGUCACCCCCAGGAGGAGUAUUUGAAGUCUUUUAUCUCAGCCUCCAAAUUACAUCGCAAAAUUUCUGUUCUUAACAAGCUCUUACAGACUGACAUUGUCCUCCUGUGUAACAAGCAAGCCAGAGCCACGAGGCAGAGAAGAGACGGUGCAGAUGACGAUAUACAUUCUUUAGCAAUAAAGUUUGGGGGUCCCUAGGGAAGGCUGAAUGACUUCUUCCCCUGCAUGGGGGGCUUGAGUCUUUCUUCCAAGAAUAAGUCAUUUCUGCUCUUUCUACAGGCUAUAGGCACGGUGAAAUGUCUCGUUUCUGUGACUCACAUACAAGCGUAUGCCUGAGGAGGAAAAAAAAUUGUAUUUUUCGUAUGCCAGGGCUCUGCCCUGGAAGAAGCUUCUGUUGUUUAAGAAUGAAGUGAAUGGAAGGAUUUGUGUUUAAUGAAUCUACCCUGAAUUAAGUGACCUGAAGAAUUCACGCUGCAUGUAUCUACCCAGGAUUAAAUUGAAGGCUGAGGCUUUA